GCCGGAUCUGGAUCUGGCUGGGAAAUCAUGAUGUGGAUAACAGUGUUUUUUUGUUGUUGUUUUUUGUUUUGAAACGGAGCCUUGCUCCAUCACCUAGGCUGGAGUGCAGUAGCGCAAUCUUGGCUGUCUGCAACCCUUGCCUCUCGGGUUCAGGAGAAUUCCUAUAGCCAGGGAGAUGGAGGCUGCAGUGAGCUAUGAUAAUGCCAUUGCACUCCAGCCUGGGUGACAGAGUGAGAUCCUGUCUCCAAAAAAAAAAAAAA
ensembl:lncRNA novel transcript, antisense to ACPT